rnacentral:rRNA from 1 species
GUGGGGGGGGGGCGGGUGGGGGGGUGAUAAGGAGGGUGCAAUGGGUGGUGGGAAUGUGUGGGCGUAAAGCUGGUGGGGGCGGCUUGUUAUGGCGGGUGGGAAAGCCCUCAGGUUAACUGAGGAAGGGCGCCCGAAAGUGGCGAGCUUGAGUACCGGAGAGGAGAGCGGAACACCCGGUGUAGAGGUGAAAUUCGUAGAUAUCGGGUAGAACACCAGUGGCGAAGGCGGCUCGCUGGACGGAUACUGACGCUGAGACGCGAAAGCGUGGGGAGCAAACAGGAUUAGAUACCCCCUGUAGUC